GGCUCACUGGAGGCCAGAAGUCCAAGGUCAAGGCGUCAGCAGCCCUGCCCCCACAGGCGAGGCCCCGGGUCUGCUGACUCCGGCUGACUUCUCCUCUGGCACUUCCUUCCCAACUCCUGGCUGUGGAUCCUGACCCCCCCCCACUUGGACAAACAUCUUGCGGCCGUUUCCUCCUCGCCUGCCCGGAGCCCCUGCCUGGCCUGAACAAACACUCGGGACCUGCGCUUCCGGCCUCAGCUCUGGGAAAAGCCCGGCCAGGGGCCGCCGAGUGUCCCACCAGGCUGCCGCUCCGGUCCUGUUCCCGACGGAGCCUCCCGGUGUGUUGCUAUCAGAGAUUAGGAACCAGGCCCGGGGUGUGGCAGGAGUGGGCAGUCUUGACAACGCAAAUCGGCGAAGAUGGUGGACGGUGAGGAGCGAGCUCCCCGUCACUGGACGUGUGAGCAGAGCCAGGCGGAUAUGCAGGAGGCAUCCCCUGCCGACACUUCCCCCUCCUCACCUGCUCCCGGCAUCCUGGGGACCGGGGGCCAGCUAGCAGGAUCUGGGAGUGGAAACAAUGGAAUUAAUGUGUGUGAGGGUUUUGGUGUGUUUUUUUUUUCCUUUGGAGAAGUUUCUCCUCAUCUGCCGGGUUGGAUUCCCACCUCAACUUCCGGUCUUUGGAGGAGCCCGCAGGAGAGGAUGGGUGUGGGCGGGGCGGUCAGGAAGGGGAGAGCUGGGGGUGGGGGGCGGUGAGGAGGAAGGCAGGGCUCCUUCUGGCUCCUGGGUCUUUGCACCGGCUGUGCCCCGCCCCCAGCCCCUGCUGUAGCCCCUGUGCCUCCUCCAGGAAGCCCUCCCUGACCUCCCCCACCCAGGCUAAACAAACAGGAGUCAGCACCUUCCCGCUCUCAUUCAUCGGCACUUCAUCUUCCACUGCGGACUGGGCCUGUUGGUUCACAGCUCUCUCCUCUGCUCAGCACUCACGAGACACCAGCCGCGUAGGGCACAGAAAGGGGGGCCCGGUCCUACACUGCGGUCCUCACUGUCCACUCAGGGC